UAGAAUUAAAUUUUUCUUCGACGCUUUCUUCUGGGUUCAAUAGAACAGCUUCCUUCUCCUUCCUUUUCAUUUCUCAAAAUCACAGACCAAAAAGGACGAACAACAAAGAAGUUCCCCUCUUGAAAAAUACAAAAACGGCAGCAUCGGGUUUCAUAAUUUAGGGCUACCUCGAGACCUCGAAUCAAAUUAGGGGUUGACGUGGCAAAAAUUUUAGAAGACUAUUUGCUUAAAAUCUGUUAUGGUGAAAUCGCUGAUGAUGCUCGUUGCCUUUCAAAUUUUAAUUAGUUCUAUUCAAAUUUUCUUGUUCAACCACCUUUAGAUCUGGGUUUGAUUUGGUUUAGUUGAUUUUCCUUGCAAAUAGGUACACAUCAUAUCUC
rnacentral:lncRNA from 1 species